UUCGCAAUGCCCGAAAGGGUGACGAAGCGACGCCGCGUGAGGGAUUGAAGGCCUUCGGGUUGUAAACCUCUUUUGCACCGUCAGAAGGGGGUACGCGCGAACAUCGCGAACCCUCGGACGGAGGUGAGAAAAAGCUCCGGCUAACUUCGUGCCAGCAGCCGCGGUAAGACGAAGGUGGCAAGCGUUGCUCGGAAUCACUGGGCAUAAAGCGCGCGUAGGUGGCGUGGUAAGUCAGUGGUGAAAUCCCAUAGCUUAACUAUGGAACUGCCGCCGAUACUGCCAUGCUUGAGGACGGUAGGGGAGAGUGGAACUCCUGGUGUAGCGGUGAAAUGCGUAGAUAUCAGGAGGAACGCCGGCGGCGAAAGCGACUCUCUGGUCCGUAACUGACGCUGAGUGUGCGAAAGCUAGGGGAGCAAACGGGAUUAGAUACCCCGGUAGUCCUAGCCGUAAACGAUGGGCACUAAGUAGAGGGGUUUU
rnacentral:rRNA from 1 species